GGCCCAUUAGCUCAGUUGGUUAGAGCUAAUAAUGCUAAUAACGCGAAGGUCGUGGGUUCGAUCCCCCCAUGGGCCA